GCCCUCUUAGUUCAACGGAUAGAACAAGGGUUUCCUAAACCUUAGAUACAGGUUCGAUUCCUGUAGAGGGUA
rnacentral:tRNA from 1 species